ensembl:lncRNA
AAAAGAAGAAAAUCAAAAAAGACAGUAAACUGUCACGCUGCCAGUCUUUGUUUUCCUGGGUGUUCCCUAGUGAGCUCACUUCCCCUUAGGCACUUCACCAUAGGCACUUUAAUUCCGCUAGUCUGGUUGUGUCUUCACAGUAAUUGCACUCCAAUUAGAAUCGCACAGGUGUUGACAAUACUCUGUCAUUAGUUUCCCUAUAUAGAGCUGUCUUUCUCUGUUGUCAUCAUGGAGUCCUUACCCUAUGUGUCUCAUGCUCUCGUUCCCCCGAGACUUCCUCUACCUUCUCAUUCUUCCGAGUUCCCCGUUUCAUCCGGUUCCCUCUUUUGGUUACGUUUGUCUCUCAUGACUGUUUAUUUUUGUAGUUACCCCUCUGUUUAAAUAAAAACCCUUACCUGCAUUUGGAUCUACCCUCUCUUUGUGUUUUCCCAAACCCAACCGUGACAGAAGGACUCCAUCAUGCCUAGAUCCAGCGGUGUGAGAUUUCGAAUCGGUUCCCCAGCCACCAUGGAGGAACGGAGGGGGAGAUUCCGGAACUUAACCACCCUUCAUCAAGAGGGAAGGGAGGUGGGUGGCCUGGCGCAAUUGUUUUGGACUUUGGCAGUCGGGUUAGGUUACAAUGAUGCAGCACUAAAGGAUUUGUUUAAUAAUUGCCUGGAUGAUCCUUUACCUCAAUGGGAGAUGAAGGGGUUAGAGAUCCUGGACUUUUGGGGGUUUACCAAUUACCUGCACCAUCGUGCUCAGUGGGAUGCAACAACCACACCAGAGUUUCCAGACAAGGCUGCCAGCUCAGCCCCACAGCACAAGAUGGCCGCCACCCCAACCCCACAGCACAGGAUGGCCGCCAGCCCAGCCCCACAACCCAAGAUGGCCACCAGCCCAGCCCCACAGCCCAAGAUGGCCGCCAGCCUAGCGCCACAGCUCAAGAUGGCCGCCAGCCCAGCACCACAGCACAAGAUGGCCGACUCAACGCCACCGACUCUCCAUCGUAGAGGGCGGAGGAGGAGACAGGCAGCUACUGUUCCUCAGGACCCGGAGAACGUUCCCGAGCGGGCGGCUGCCGUCCAUGAGGCCACUCCCGAUGCGGUGCCCGCUGCUGUUCCGGAGGCGGUGGCCGAGGCUGUUCCCGAUGCGGUGCCCGCUGCUGUUCCGGAGGCCGAGGCGGUGGCCGAGGCCGUUCCCGAGGCGGUGCCCGCUGCUGUUCCGGAGGCCGAGGCGGUGGCCGAAGCCGUUCCCGAUGCGGUUCCCGUUGCUGUUCCGGAGGCCGGGGCGGUGGCCGAGGUCGUUCCCGAUGCGGUGCCCGCUGCUGCUCCGGAGGCCGAGGCUGUUCCCGAGGCGGUGCCUGAUGCAGUUCCCGAGGCGGUGCCCGAUGCAGUUCCCGAGGCGGUGCCCGAGGCUGUUCCCGAGGCGGUGCCCGAUGCAGUUUCCGAGGCGGUGCCCGAGGCAGUUCCCGAGGCGGUGCCCGAGGCAGUUCCCGAGGCGGUGCCCGAUGCAGUUCCCGAGGCGGUGCCCGAUGCUGUUCCCGAGACGGUGCCCGAUGCUGUUCCCGAGGCGGUGCUCGAUGCUGUUCCCGAGGCGGUGCCCGAUGCAGUUCCCAAGGCGGUGCCCGAUGCAGUUCCCAAGGCGGUGCCCGAUGCUGUUCCCGAGGCGGUGCUCGAUGCAGUUCUCGAGGCGGUGCUCGAUGCAGUUCCCGAGGCUAUUCCCGAGGAGGUACCCGAUGCUGUUCCCGAGGCGGUGCCCGAUGCUGUUCCCGAGGCGGUGCUCGAUGCAGUUCCCGAGGCGGUGCCCGAUGCUGUUCCCGAGGCGGUGCCCGAUGCAGUUCCCGAGGCGGUGCCCGAUGCUGUUCCCGAGGCGGUGACCGAUGCUGUUCCCGAGGCGGUGACCGAUGCUGUUCCCGAGGCGGUGCCCGAUGCAGUUCCCGAGGCGGUGCCCGAUGCUGUUCCCGAGGCGGUGCCCGAUGCUGUUCCCGAGGCGGUGCCCGAUGCAGUUCCCGAGGCGGUGCCCGAUGCAGUUCCCGAGGCGGUGCCCGAUGCUGUUCCCGAGGCGGUGCCCGAUGCUGUUCCCGAGGCGGUGCCCGAUGCUGUUCCCGAGGCGGUGCCCGAUGCAGUUCCCGAGGCGGUGCCCGAUGCAGUUCCCGAGGCGGUGCCCGAUGCAGUUCCCGAGGCGGUGCCCGAUGCAGUUCCCGAGGCGGUGCUCGAUGUUGUUCCCGAGGCGGUGCCCGAUGCUGUUCCCGAGGCGGUGCCCGAUGCAGUUCCCGAGGCGGUGCUCGAUGCAGUUCCCGAGGCGGUGCCCGAUGCAGUUCCCGAUGCUGUUCCCGAGGCGGAGCCCGAUGCUGUUCCCGAGGCGGAGCCCGAUGCUGUUCCCGAGGCGGAGCCCGAUGCUGUUCCCGAGGCGGAGCCCGAUGCAGUUCCCGAUGCUGUUCCCGAGGCGGAGCCCGAUGCUGUUCCCGAGGCGGAGCCCGAUGCUGUUCCCGAGGCGGAGCCCGAUGCUGUUCCCGAGGCGGUGCCCGAUGCAGUUCCCGAGGCUGUUCCCGAGGCGGAGCCCGAUGCUGUUCCCAAGGCGGUGCCCGAUGCUGUUCCCGAGGCGGUGCCCGAUGCUGGUCCCGAGGCGGUGCCCGAUGCAGUUCCCGAGGCGGUGCCCAAUGCAGUUCCCGAGGCGGUGCUCGAUGCAGUUCCCGAGGCGGUGCCCGAUGCUGUUCCCGAGGCGGUGCUCGAUGCAGUUCCCGAGGCGGGGCUCGAUGCAGCUCCCGAGGCUGUUCCCGAGGAGGUACCCGAUGCUGUUCCCGAGGCGGUGCCCGAUGCUGUUCCCGAGGCGGUGCCCGAGGCUGUUCCAGAGGCGGUGCCCGAUACAGUUCCCGAGGCGGUGACCACAAGGCCGUGGUGGUCUUCUACUCCGCCCUGGGGGACUCUGGCGGUGACCACGAGGACGUGGUGGUCGUCCGCUCCACCCUGGGGGACUCGGGCGGUGACCACGAGGACGUGGUGGUCGUCCGCUCCGCUCUGGGGGACUCCGGCGGUGACCAUGAGGACGUGGUGGUCUUCUGCUCCGCCCUGGUGGACUCCGGCCUCGACCACAAAGACGUGGUGGUCUUCCGCUCCGCCCUGGAGGGCUUUGACUUUGACCACAAGGCCGUGGUGGUCUUCCGCUCCGCCCUGGUGGACUCCGGCCUCGACCACAAAGACGUGGUGGUCUUCCGCUCCGCCCUGGAGGGCUUUGACUUUGACCACAAGGCCGUGGUGGUCUUCCGCUCCGCCCUGGAGGGCUCUGGCCUUGACCACACGGCUGUGGUGGUCAUCUGCUCCGUCCUGGUGGACGCCUCAACAUGCCCUUCAUGGACUUAUGUUUUGUGUUUUUUGAGUUCUGUUUCUGUCUGUUCCUUUUAGUUUAGUCUGGCCCUCCUUCCCUCCCCCUGAGCCUCCACCUGUCCGCCUCCCUCCUGGACUCCUUGUUUUGUGUUGCACCUUUCCAUUUCCCCUGGUUGCUCCUGUCCCUGUUUUCUGUCCCUCCGUCCCUCCCCCUGGUCCGCCGCCGUUCCACCUCCCUCCUGCCUCUUUUUCUGUUGGGGUUUUCCUGGGUUUAGGUGGAGCAUCUGGUAGCUGCUCCGUAGGGAGGGGGUAAUGUCACGCUGCCAGUCUUUGUUUUCCUGGGUGUUCCCUAGUGAGCUCACUUCCCCUUAGGCACUUCACCAUAGGCACUUUAAUUCCGCUAGUCUGGUUGUGUCUUCACAGUAAUUGCACUCCAAUUAGAAUCGCACAGGUGUUGACAAUACUCUGUCAUUAGUUUCCCUAUAUAGAGCUGUCUUUCUCUGUUGUCAUCAUGGAGUCCUUACCCUAUGUGUCUCAUGCUCUCGUUCCCCCGAGACUUCCUCUACCUUCUCAUUCUUCCGAGUUCCCCGUUUCAUCCGGUUCCCUCUUUUGGUUACGUUUGUCUCUCAUGACUGUUUAUUUUUGUAGUUACCCCUCUGUUUAAAUAAAAACCCUUACCUGCAUUUGGAUCUACCCUCUCUUUGUGUUUUCCCAAACCCAACCGUGACAGAAACCUACCAAAGUGUAUAGCUGCUUUUUGAAUAAUAUGUCAACUCCUAAAUAAUUCCAAUAUAAUUUAGCUAAUCAAAUAGUGUGAUACAUAGAACAACAAAGCGAGAAAGGAGUCUUUGAGCCAAUUAGCCAGCGCCACCAUUGACAAAACACCUUUAUAUAAAACAAUAUAGUGAUCCAAUCCGUUCUUAUAAUAAUG